rnacentral:lncRNA from 1 species
UAGCUAAUUGAAGCUUACUUCCUAAAAUUAGGAUUUAAAAAGAAAAUUUGAAGUUACAAAAAAUAACAAAUAAGGAGAUAAUUAAGAUUUUUAUUUGCUUGAGAUUAUUAAGAAGAGUGUUUUUGAGCACUUUGUAUUGAUUUUAAGUCCUUUUGCAUUGUAAUUCAAAUUCCUUUCUUCUUAAUGGUUGAAACCUAUCAGGAUUUUUUAGAUA